rnacentral:tRNA from 1 species
GGGGUCAUGGCUCAGUGGGAGAGUAUCUGCUUGUCACGUGGAAUGCCCAGGUUCACUUCCUGGUAUUUCCA